AUGAGAAUUUGCUCACAAUGUGUCUCAUCAAGUGGGUGUGAGAGGAAUUGGAGCGCCUUUGCUUUGGUGCACACAAAGCAAAGAAAUCGUCUUUUAUAUGACAAGCUCCACAAGCUAGUUUCUGUACGCUACAACCUAAAGAUACGUGCUGAAGAAGAUCAAGAGAAAGAUAUAGAUAAUGAAGUUGAUCCAAGUGCACUGCUGAUGGACACAACAAUGUUUGAUGAAGCAAAUCCAAUAAUGGAGUGGCUGAAUGAGGAUGAAGGGGAUCCAAUUGUGGAUGGAGCUAAUGAAGCCAGUGCUGUUUUUGAGAAAAUAAGGCGUCUCAACUCAGGCAGGAAGGAUUCUUAUGUUGGUACAAAGGGUAAUAAGAAGAAAAGAAAGAGGAAUCAUGAUGAGGAGAAUGAGUAUGUCGAAACUGAGAGUGAGGAUGACGACGAAGAUAAUGAGUAUGUUGAUAAUGAGAGUGAGGAUGAUGAUGGGGUGAGUGAGGAUGAUGAGGAUGAUCAAGAAGAUCAGCAAGAGACACAAAUGCAAGUGGAAGAAGAGACACAAGUACAAGCUGAAAAGGAGACAGCAGCAAGUGUUGGCAAUUUGGAGAAUCGUAGAUCUGGACGACUAGUUAGGAAGAAGACCAAGGAAGUGAACAGCCUCUACUCGUAG
rnacentral:rRNA from 1 species